rfam:Paenibacillus sabinae T27, complete genome.
AUAAUGAUACUUCUGCCUGGCCAGCGUCACGGCAUUGGGGGCAGCCUGCUCGGAUGAGGGGGAGCUUCAUUCUAAUAGAGGAGCUAUGA